GUCUACGGCCAUACCACCCUGAACAAACCUGAUCCCGUCUGAUCUCAGACACUAAGCAGGGUCGGGCCUGGUUAGUACUUGGAUGGGAGACCACCUAGGAAGACCACGUGCUGUAGGCA
rnacentral:rRNA from 1 species